UACAGAGGUCCCAAGCGUUGUUCGGAUUCAUUGGGCGUAAAGGGUGCGUAGGUGGCGCUGUAAGUCGGGUGUGAAAUUUCGGAGCUUAACUCCGAAACUGCAUUCGAUACUGCGGUGCUCGAGGACUGGAGAGGAGACUGGAAUUCAUGGUGUAGCAGUGAAAUGCGUAGAGAUCAUGAGGAAGACCAGUGGCGAAGGCGGGUCUCUGGACAGUUCCUGACGCUGAGGCACGAAGGUCAGGGGAGCAAACGGG
rnacentral:rRNA from 1 species